rnacentral:rRNA from 1 species
GCGUGCGGGAAGAAGGCCUUCGGGUGUAAACCGCUUUCAGGAGGGACGAAGCCACUCGGGUGAACAGCCCAGAGGGUGACGGUACCUCCAGAAGAAGCCCCGGCUAACUACGUGCCAGCAGCCGCGGUAAUACGUAGGGGGCUAGCCGUUGUCCGGAUUUAUUGGGCGUAAAGCGCGUGUAGGCGGCCAGAUAGGUCUGCUGUGAAAACUCGAGGCUCAACCUCGAGCUGUCGGCGGAAACCAUCUGGCUAGAGUCCGGAAGAGGAGAGUGGAAUUCCCGGUGUAGCGGUGAAAUGCGCAGAUAUCGGGAAGAACACCUGUGGCGAAGGCGGCUCUCUGGGACGGUACUGACGCUGAGACGCGAAAGCGUGGGGAGCAAACAGGAUUAGAUACCCUGGUAGUCCACGCCGUAAACGAUGGGUGCUAGGUGUGGGGAGUGUCGACUCUCUCCGUGCCGAAGCUAACGCAUUAAGCACCCCGCCUGGGGAGUACGGCCGCAAGGCUA